rnacentral:ncRNA from 1 species
CACCUCCCAAGAGUCGCUGUUUGGGAGUGAGCAGUCUCGAGAGGACUGCGGAUUACUGUAUUGAGGCCUUCGGGUGGCGAUGUGGCGGAAAACAGUUCAUUCGCAAUGGCUUGAACCGUGUAAAAGUCGUAACAAGAUAUCUGUAGGUGAACCUGCAGAUG